CSCGUGGGGAAAGUUGCAAAGAACUCUAAAAGAGAGUUCAAGAGAACGUGAAAACACUAACGUUGAAGCGAUCGCUUGCAACGAAGUCGUUCUGCMAUCUGCAUGGCUCGCGCUGUGCURGUGCGCGGUUCGAUUGCGCUGGUUGCAUUCGCUGUGCGCUCUGAAGUGUGUCGACUGUAUUCAUUUACUCUCGGCGCAUGAAGGAGUGUCACGGCGAGUGUGUYUGUAAUAAACCGGUGUGUMCGUUGCUGACGCGUUCGACCCGUCUUGAAACMCGGACCGCGGAGUGUAGCUAGUGUGCGAGUGAGAGAGUGCUGAAACUCUGUAGCGCAAUGAAAGUGACUCGUGAGAGCCGGCAACGGUGCAUCWCGGCCCUACCAGUCAUAGGACUUGGCAGAGGCARAGCGCACUGGCUSCGACCCGAWRSAUGGUGAUCUAUGCUUGAAUAGGAUGAAGUCARAGGAWMCUCUGAUGGAGGUCCGUAUUGGUUUUGACGUGCAAAUCGAUCAAUCGAUUUGAGUAUAGGGGYGAAAGACUCAUCGAACCAUCUAGUA
rnacentral:rRNA from 1 species